AAAAAAAAAAAACUCAGUGCAACGAUGGCCUCCGUGUGCGAAGGUUGUGUACUUACGGAGAGUGAUGCAGCAUCACGGUUUACUCGUAAUAACGAAGAAACGUUAUCCUUUUUACGAGAACACGCAGUCUUACCGAGAGCAGUGAAGUGUCCCAGGUGUGAUAAGCCUUGCACUUUAAGGGCGGAACGGCAUCAAUGGGAGUGUUACUCUAAAGUCCGGAAGCCUAAAUCGAAGAAACGAAUCCAGUGCAAUUUUUCGGUGAGCGACUACAAAGGGACAUUUUUAGACAAGUGCCACAUCGAUCCCUGGAAACUGGUGCUGUUUGUGAAUUUCUGGUUGCGCAAAUGGUUCAGCCAUCGGCAAAUAUUUGACAAUUUGCAGUUGAAUUCUCAGACAGCGGUUACCUGGAGACGUUAUUGUUCUGAGGUGGCAGAGGAUUUUGUCGCUCAUCAGCCCCCAAUCGGAGGGCCAGACAUUUUUGUCGAGAUCGCCGAAUUUGAGUUCGUCAAGUCUAAAACCGGACGUGGAAGGGAAGAUGCUGCUGGGGUCUGGGUGUUCGGUGGUAUUGAGAGGGUUUCCGAGAAGUUUUUCGCCGUGGGGUUAAUGGAAGAUCCUCGUCGUGACAGAGCCACGUUAAUCCCUCUUAUUCGAAAGCACAUCAGACCAGGGAGUAUCAUCGUGAGUGAGGAAUGGCCAGAUGGGAUGAAAAUGAACGACCUCGGCUACCGGCACUUGACCACUCAUCACAGUACGGAAUUCGUGGUUCCCCCAAAUCCAGACGUUCAUACUCGGAAUAUCGAGCGCUUAUGGAGGGACAUCAAGUCUUUCGUGCUGAGGUCCGGUAUUCGGAGAGAGUAUUACCAACAGUACAUCUCCCGGUACAUCUUUAUCAAGUCGGUGGGUAAUUCUGAAUUGCUGCUUCAUACAUUCUUCAUUGCUGCCGGAAAACUUUAUCCUCACACCACAGGACCCGGCAGUUGCUCCACGUCAUCAGGAAUAGGAAGGAGUAAGCGAUGGGUGGCCAACUGCAAGAGGGGAGAUUUGCUGAAUAGAGACGUCGAUUAUCUUGACCACAACGGUAGACCUUGUGCAGAACACUUCUCGGCAGAACAGUUUAUGAACACUCAGGAAAAAAAACAGUGUAUCGCCAUACAAGCACCGAAGGAAAGAUUUUCCACUCCACCAAAUGAGCAUCAUGUCAGGAACCCAGAAGCACAAAUAGUUCAUGAGAAAAAAAUUGAGAGUGAAAGUAAUGAAUAUGUUGCAAUGGAAUCAGUUUGCAAUAAGGAAGAGGUCACCAAAUCAAGCUUAGAACCAUUGCAUAUAAAAGAAGAAAUUGAGUUUGAGGAGUCUGUCACCAUAAAAGAAGAACCAAUUGAACUUGAGCCUGAGCCUGACUUGUCAUGUAUAAAAGAGGAAACCCAAGAUUAUUUCAGUUCAGAAGUUGUAGUAAAAGAGGAGAGCAGACAAGAUUGCUUUACGUCAAAUUUUAUGGACUUUUGUCACCCAGUGUCUGGUUGCCGGCUGUAACGCUGUUCUACAGGAUCCGUGCGGCCAAGAUGUUUGCCGGGGCCAUGCCCUGUGUGCAGUUGCUGAAAGAUCCCGUAGUCUGGCAUCACGGAACUGCUUUGCCUGCUACGUCUUGGUGCAACAGGUUACCUCUCCAACGGAGCAGUCUGUUAAGGAUGCUGCACCCUCCACCCUCAAGAUCUGGGUUGGAGGUUUUGGCCGGAACAUAAGGAAGGCUAAGCUGUAUAUCCUAUCCCAAAAUAUGGCAGCUUUGAUCUUCCUGGCCGGAGAAAUCGGCCGGAUGCGUUGACCCAGAAGUCGCAGCACCGAUUAUCAAAUGAAUUCGGGAUUCAGUUAUUGAACAGCAAUAGGCGGAAUUGCUGGAGCUUGGGUUGGAAGGAGUGUCACUUGAAGUGGUUGACAAUUUGCCCAUUACACCAGAUGUGGGCACAGGUAACAAUGUUAAUGAGUCUAGCUUAGUUAGUCACCGAGGUCUUUCCUCGAGUCACUGAUUCUUCCACUCCCUCUCCUUCCAAUUCCUUCAAGGGUUUCACAGGAGGGUUGCCCCCUUCUAGGUCGCAUUCCUUCUCUGUGAUACCUAAAAUAAAGACAAAUCCUUCUGGUAAAACCUUGCUUAAAAGAAAACCAAAAUCAAAUUCAAGGCCUGGAAAAGUGCCAAAUGUUCAUACACAUAUUAAACCUAGGCUGAAGUCUUCAAAUCCGAGGUCUUAAGAGGGAAAUUCUUCCCAUUGCCCCACAAGUCACAUACCUUCAACAUUUAGCCAUCGGAUACCUCAUAAGGUACCGCAUGGGGGGCAGGAAGACUCCCCUCUAGUCGGCCAAGACCUGUUCAAUACGAAUAUUUUAAAUCAGGUCAAUAGCCUAGGUAACUUAGCAAGUUGAGUCGAGCAAGGUUUGAAGAGGUAUUUAAGAGAUUAGGUACGCAGGACUCCCUGAUUGCAGACCUCAGACAGGAGUCGGCAUUUCAGGCACCUAAUAGUAACUUGGUGCAAGGUCAGAGCAUGCCUGACGGAACCACGCUCCCUUCGUUCCACCCUAGUAAUCCUUGGAGGGUGGCGAACUUCGCUCCUUUUGUCAACGGGAUGUUGACUAUAGAAGGUUGUGGUACACGUAGGCUCGAGGAUUUUGAGUUCUUCCCCGAAAGGUUGCAGCCACCAUUCAUAGGUUGUGUUAGGCUUACUGAGGCAGCUCUGGUUAGAGAGGAUAAGGUCCCCAAGGAGGCGCUUAUCCUUUCUAGAGACCGGGCUCAGCUGUGUAUGAAGCCUGGAAGAGUGGAACUGUGCAAUACUAGGGUAACAGCAUUUAGGAGCCCUUUCACGAUGUUUACGACGGUUGACGGAAACCUGUUACCUUUUACAUCAAAGGUAGCAGAGCUUACCCUCCAGGCAGUGACACGGGAAGAGCCCAUGUCACAGCUUAGGUAGGCAGAUCCCACAUCUUUGCUACUCCCAAGGAGGGAGGAUUUGUGGGCGGAUUUGCCGGCUACAUUCUCGGUAGGCAAGCUUAAGCCAGACUGUGCAAUCACUUUGUUUAGUGAGCGCCUCCCUAGGCUGUCAGAUGCACUGAUUCAAGCCAAAUUUAACGCUAGGACACGUCUCGCACGGUCUCUUAGCUCCCUAGUGCUGUCGGAGACGGCAGCUCUUGAGUACGCUCAGGAGACGCUGUUUAAGAUCAUCGCAAGUGUUACUUUUGAGCAUGCAUUGUGACUUGUACGACUUUGCGGUUGCUAGGAGAAAUUGCAGGAAGUAUGUUCUAUCCGAGGCUGCGAUUAGGCACGAACCGAACAAGCUUCUGGCUUCCUCAAUUUGGGGUGCAGACCUCUUUCCAGCUUCUGCAGUAAACGAGGUUCAGGAUGAGGCAUCGCUUCUUAAUCAAAGCAUCAGGUUGCGUUGGGGUAUCCCUUGUAAGCGAAAACCGGAGUCUUCUUCCCCCAGUUCUAGAGCUAGGAAGAGGCAAAGGCGCUUCCAACUUUUCCAGGUUCCACAACAGCAACCUGUGCUACAGGCUGUACCAGUCCAGCAGGUACCCGGGCCUUCGACUUCUAAGGCUCAGCCUCAGCACCAUCAUCAAUUUGUCCUCCUUUCACCGUCAAUUAAUCAACAGGCUCCCCCACAGUAUACUGUGUCGCGGGCAUAUAACCCGGUCUAUGGUAAUCAGGUAUUUCAACCUUUUGCCAGGGUCGCGAGGGGUGUCAGGGCUAGGGGCUCCUUUCGUCAGCGUGGAGGAACCAGAGCCCAAGGGUGAACUAGAGGUGCAAGGUCUGGAAGAGGAACCAGACCAUCGUCAUCUCAAUGAAAUUCUAGGUAGGAGGCAGGCUGUACCUCUUUCGGCAUCGUUGGGGGUUCAGCAGUUGGGCGAAAAGCAUAGUAUCCAGGGGCCUAAGCUUGAGUUGGAA